GACGUAGGUGGCGAACGUUAUCCGGAAUUAUUGGGCGUAAAGGGUGCGUAGGUGGGCAGGUAAGUCAGUGGUGAAAUCUCCGAGCUUAACUCGGAAACUGCCGUUGAUACUAUUUGUCUUGAAUAUUGUGGAGGUAAGCGGAAUAUGUCAUGUAGCGGUGAAAUGCUUAGAUAUGACAUAGAACACCAAUUGCGAAGGCAGCUUACUACACAACGAUUGACGCUGAGGCACGAAAGCGUGGGGAUCAAACAGG
rnacentral:rRNA from 1 species